UUAUAUUAGGUAGGUACAAAAAUAAUUGUGGCUUUUGUCAUUAAAAAUAAUGGCAAAAACCACAAUUACUUUUGCACCA
rnacentral:miRNA from 10 species